rnacentral:rRNA from 1 species
UACGUAGGUGGCAAGCGUUGUCCGGAAUUAUUGGGCGUAAAGCGCGCGCAGGCGGCUUCUUAAGUCUGAUGUGAAAUCUCGGGGCUCAACCCCGAGCGGCCAUUGGAAACUGGGAAGCUUGAGUACAGAAGAGGAGAGUGGAAUUCCACGUGUAGCGGUGAAAUGCGUAGAUAUGUGGAGGAACACCAGUGGCGAAGGCGACUCUCUGGUCUGUAACUGACGCUGAGGAGCGAAAGCGUGGGGAGCGAACAGG